CAUGACACGUUCGCUACGGCCACCCGCACACAAACACAAGCGCAUACGGAAGCCGCCACCCAUGCAUUCAGGUAAUGGCCGCAGCAGCGCGUACGUACAGGCACAUCGUCGCCCGGGAGCUCUCCACCAACUUCCGGGCGGUCGCAUCCAUCGUUGAAGCACCGUUCCCAACGGAGCUGCACCCCAAGGCUAUCCUCGUGAAGAACAAGUACCUUGGCAUCAACGCGAGCGACAUUAACUUCACGGCUGGCAUCUACCAGCCCAACGUGCGGCCGCCUUUCGCUUGUGGCUUCGAGGCUGUCGGAGAGGUUGUCGACGUAGGCAGCGGCGUAAAAGACUUGAAGGCCGGCGCCGCUGUCGUGACUCAGAGCUACGGCGCGUUCACAGAGUACCAGGUGGUAGCGCGACGGCACGCCAAGCCUAUACCACGCAUGGCGAGGGAAUACCUGCCGCUCGACCUGAGUGCGACGACGGCGUCCAUUGCGCUUGAGCACGUCCUCAAGCCGCAGCCCGGCGAGCGCGCCGUCGUGACGGCGGCGGCAGGCGGCACAGGGCAAUUUGCCGUUCAGCUGCUCAAGCACGUCUACGGCUGCUCAGUCGUCGGGACGUGCUCCUCGCCAUCGAAGGAGGUCUUUCUCACCAACACCCUCAAGUGCGACGGGGUGGUGAAUUACAAGGCAGAGGGCGGCGACACGGCGGCGGCGUUCCUGCGCUGCUACCCACGCGGGGUCAGCAUCGCCUACGAAUCCGUUGGCGGCGACCUUCUCGAGGCUGUGAUCCAGAGCCUCGCACCGCGCGGCCGCAUCCUCUCACUAGGCUGCGUUUCGACUUACCAGCGCGGCUCCAUCGAAGCAGCCUGUCCGAACCGCAAGCCGCUGCCGUUGCAGCUGCUUGCCAAGAGCGCCUCCCUCUCUACCUUCUUCCUCCCUCACUUCGCCAAGUACGGGCAGCUGCACUUCGACCGUCUCUGUGCGCUGCACGAGCAGGGCAUUCUGCAUUGCUGCAUCGAUCCCGCGACUUUCAGAGGCCUAGAAGGUGUGUACGACGCCAUCGACUGGAUGUUCGAGCAGAAGAACUGUGGCAAGGUGAUGGUUGAGCUGUAAUGUGACCAGCUCCACCCACGAGGCCGCCGCCUCGAUAUCGCGAUGCCUGAAGCGCCUGGCCUCGCCGUGGGGAAAAGCGCUGACCACAUACGUAUGUCUCUUCUCUCUUUCGCGGCGCGCGCGCGUCGUUGCUCACGUGCGCACCCCACAAAGGGUGCAAGUUCUGCUGUCAACGCCAGUGUCUGCCGAUGGGCCAGUGGGGAGGAGGCUAUAGAGAGAGGGCUAAGCGACCGUUUCGUUUGUGUCUGUGCGUGCAUACCCCCCCUCCCUCAUCACCGACACCCGAGCAGCAAGGCAAUAAGGCAUCUCUCUCCUUGAAGGCUCUCCAAGUGUGUUUCGGAUGUGUGCGGUACUCGCCGCCCCACCCUCGCCCCGGGAGGGAUGAGGAGCGGAUCUCGAGAGGAGAGCCCCUCCUCAGACGUAAUGGCUCUUUCUCAGGGGUGCAUUCCUGAUGUAUGAUCUCCUCGCCCACCCCCUCACCCCUCUCGUCCUCUUGUUCGCCGCCGCCGCCGUGAUGCACACCUUCCACGGUCGUCGUGCAG
rnacentral:misc_RNA from 1 species